ACGGGGCCCGCACAAGCGGUGGAGCAUGUGGUUUAAUUCGACGCAACGCGAAAAACCUUACCUGGGUUUGACAUGCCGAGUACCCGAUGGAAACAGUUGGGGUGCCCCGUAAGGGGAACUUGGACACAGGUGCUGCAUGGCUGUCGUCAGCUCGUGCCGUGAGGUGUUGGGUUAAGUCCCGCAACGAGCGCAACCCUCACCCUUAGUUGCCAUCAUUAAGUUGGGCACCCUAAGGGAACUGCCGCAGUUAAUGCGGAGGAAGGUGGGGAUGACGUCAAGUCCUCAUGGCCCUUAUAUCCAGGGCUACACACGUGCUACAAUGGGCGGUACAAAGGGUCGCGAACCUGUAAGGGGGAGCUAACCCCAGAAAACCGUUCUCAGUUCGGAUUGGAGUCUGCAACCCGACUCCAUGAAGUUGGAAUCGCUAGUAAUCGCGGAUCAGAACGCCGCGGUGAAUACGUUCCCGGGCCUU
rnacentral:rRNA from 1 species